UUUCUUCUUUCAUCCCCCUUUUCAAUAUCCCCUUCUUUUCUUUUUGGCACAAUAUCCAUCUGAUCAAAUAUUAUUUGCAUAUCAUCUAUAGAAUCAUAAGAUUUGCAUGGUUGUUAGUGCUUAAAUAAAAGUUUAUAUAAACUCUCCUGAAAAUCCUAGCCUCAUUUCUCUCAAAAAACACUCUAGAAUCGUUUUCACUUUGAGAGGGGAGGAAGCCACUAUUCUUCCUCCCUUCCUCCCUUCUAAUCUCUUCCCCCAUUUUCAAAGACAUAAGGUUUCCCUAUUUUCUUUAUUUUGUUAUGAUUUUCCUCCACUUAUCACAGGAGGAUGCGUCUCGACGUCGAAUCUCCACUUGCAUUUUGGUGUAAAAUCUUUACCACCAUCCUUUUUGCAAUUUCUUCAUAUUUGGAAUAAGUCGAAAAGACUUUUUGGGUUUUUUGUGUAGUUUUUACCUCUCCUUUUGUGAGAGUUUUCACAUCUCCUUUGUGAGAGUUUUCACAUCUCCUUUGUGAGAGUUUUCCACCUUUCUUAUGUGAGAAUAUUAUUUGUAUUGUUAUGGCUUGGUUUUUUUUCCAAGCUUUAUGUCUUUUAGUUGUUUUGAGUUUGCACUCUUAAUUGGGAUGCAUAUGCCAGAGUUUC
rnacentral:lncRNA from 1 species